CGCUUUAAGUACCCCGCCUGGGGAGUACGGCCGCAAGGCUAAAACUCAAAGGAAUUUCCGGGGCCCCGCACAAGCGGGGGAGCAUGCGGAUUAAUUCGAUGCAACGCGAAGAACCUUACCUGGGUUUGACAUGGAUCGGGAGUGCUCAGAGAUGGGUGUGCCUCUUUUGGGGUCGGUUCACAGGUGGUGCAUGGCUGUCGUCAGCUCGUGUCGUGAGAUGUUGGGAUAAGUCCCGCAACGAGCGCAACCCUUGUUCAUUGUUGCCAGCACGUUAUGGUGGGGACUCAGUGGAGAUUGCCGGGGACAACUCGGAGGAAGGUGGGGAUGACUCAAGUCAUCAUGCCCCUUAUGUCCAGGGCUUCACGCAUGCUACAAUGGCUGGUACAGAGAGUGGCGAGCCUGUGAGGGUGAGCGAAUCUCGGAAAGCCGGUCUCAGUUCGGAUUGGGGUCUGCAACUCGACCUCAUGAAGUCGGAGUCGUAGUAAUCACAGAUCAGCAACGCUGCGAAGAAUACGUUCCCGGGCCUUG
rnacentral:rRNA from 1 species